CGGAGACUUGCCACCCAGCUCCAGCGUCACCUGCUUAACGCCCCGGGCCGCCACCUCCAUCACCUGUCCGGUAGAAAACACAAACGCGCACAAGUCUGCCAAUCCCAGUCCCCCCGUCGUCCCUAUCGGGAGGUGUUGCUAGGUGCGCCAUUACCUUCUUGCCGGUGGGCACGCUGCCUGUGAAGGACACCUUGGCCACCUGGGGAUGCUGGCACAAGAAGGUUCCGGUUUCGGCGCCACCUUGCACCACGCAGAAGAGUCCUCGGGGCGCUCCGGCGUCCCGGUAGAUUUCGGCCAGGAUGACGGCCGUGACGGGUGUCAUGGGGGACGGCUUGAAGACCAUCGCGUUGCCUGACAGAGCGAGGUCACCGUGAAGACGGGCAAGGCCCUCCGGAGCGCAGAGGUUUGCAAACUCACCGCACGCCAGCGCUGGAGCAGACUUGACCACGGCGAUCUGGAAGGGGUAGUUCCACGCACCGAUGCCUGCGCACACGCCCAGAGGCUCGCGGCGGGUGUAGGCAAAGGCUCCGCCGGGAAGCUGGAUGUGCUGACCUGAGCACAUGCGUAAACAAGUUGUCUUGCGAGGAACCGCCGUCUUGAUUUUAGCAAGCUAUCCGUGUUUUUAGCAAAACAUGAUUGGCUAUUCAUCGACAUUGUCACGGCAGGGGCAUGAAGGUUGAUGCGUCCCACCUGCCAAGGUUGCGGCCAGUCCGGCGUAGUACUCCAUACACUGCCAGGCCAUGUCGAUGUCCCCCAGAGCUUCGGUGAUGGACUUCCCGUUGUUGAUCACCUCUAACUUGCUGAUCUUCUCCCGACGCUCCUGAAGAAAAACUCCAAUUCAAUCCAUCAGGCUUGGGGUGUCCGAUGCAAUGGUUGCAAUGAAAAUGUCAGUGAGGCGGCAGGGCCACAUUGGUGAGUGACACUUUUCUUGCGAUCACAAGAACAAGGCGGCCGCCAGCGUCUCACUCUGAUGAUGCGAGCGGCCUCCAACAUGACGCGCGCCCGUUCCGUGCCCGCCAUCUUGCUCCACUUGGCGUACGCGCCACGAGCGCUCUUGAUGGCUGCGUCCACCUCAUCGGAGCCGCACGGGGUCAACUGACACAGCACACGCCCUACACAUACAGGACACACUCAUAACUAAAAACCGUUGCAGCACAAACGAAAAUGUUUACGGCACAAACCAGCAUAAACGAAG